AUUGAACGCUGGCGGCAGGCCUAACACAUGCAAGUCGAGCGAGCGGCGGACGGGUGAGUAAUGUCUGGGGAUCUGCCCGAUGGAGGGGGAUAACUACUGGAAACGGUAGCUAAUACCGCAUACUAUCGGAUGUACCCAUAUGGGAUUAGCUAGUAGGUGGGGUAAUGGCUCACCUAGGCGACGAUCCCUAGCUGGUCUGAGAGGAUGACCAGCCACACUGGAACUGAGACACGGCCCAGACUCCUACGGGAGGCAGCAGUGGGGAAUAUUGCACAAUGGGCGCAAGCCUGAUGCAGCCAUGCCGCGUGUGUGAAGAAGGCCUUAGGGUUGUAAAGUACUUUCAGCGGGGAGGCGUUACCCGCAGAAGAAGCACCGGCUAACUCCGUGCCAGCCGCCGCGGUAAUAC
rnacentral:rRNA from 1 species